UGAAGAAGAAAACCAACAUGCAAGUUAAGCUCCAGGCAUCGCAACAAAACGUAACCCAAAUGAAACGAUUAUCAACAAAACGCACAUCCAAACUCAACUAAAAACAGUUCCACACGCUAACACAAAGAGCAAAACAUAGAUUAAGCUUAAACAACUUAAACAAGUUAACCAAACAAAGAAAACCCCCAACUAGUGCAUGAUCAGAGCAGCAUUAUUACAUAUUAAAACUCAAAACCAG